UCAGGAUGAACGCUGCGGCGUGCUAAUACAUGCAAGUCGAACGAAGCACCUGCGACGGAUCCCUUCGGGGUGAAGAUGCUUGUGACUGAGUGGCGGACGGGUGAGUAACGCGUGGGUAACCUGCCUUAUGCAGGGGGACAACAGUUGGAAACGACUGCUAAUACCGCAUAAGCGCACGGCACCGCAUGGUGCAGUGUGAAAAGAUUUAUCGGCAUAAGAUGGGACCCGCGUCUGAUUAGGUAGUUGGUGAGGUAACGGCCCACCAAGCCGACGAUCAGUAGCCGACUUGAGAGAGUGAUCGGCCACAUUGGGACUGAGACACGGCCCAGACUCCUACGGGAGGCAGCAGUAGGGAAUAUUGCACAAUGGGGGGAACCCUGAUGCAAGCGACGCCGCGUGAGUGAUGAAGUAUUUCGGUACGUAAAGCUCUAUCAGCAGGGAAGAUAAUGACGGUACCUGACUAAGAAGCCCCGGCUAACUACGUGCCAGCCGCCGC
rnacentral:rRNA from 1 species